CUGCAGGGGCGCUGAGGAGCGGGUGAAGCCGUCGAGGAGCCAUGUUGGGUGUGGGAACGCUGCCGGGCGGAAGCGGCGUGUUUGCACCGCGGCUGGACGGAGCUUCUAACGUUCUAAACUCUUCUAAUUCGCACAAACAGGGCGAGUAUACAAGCACUGUGAAAUGACAUCGUACCUCGAUUCGGGCGCCUGCUGCGAUGCUGUUGGACAAAGGGCACUCGGUGCUGUGAGUGCUGCGGCAGCUCGGUCACACCGUGGGCAUCAGCUGGGAAUUGCACGCAGCCUGUUGAGCACAAGGGGCACGUGGAAAUCGCCAGAUGAAAACACGUGGCUGAAAUUCAGCAGGAGGAGAACUUACACGGGUAGCAGGCAACGAGGAUGAGGGUAAAAUCAAGAUGUAAGGAAUGCUUGAGUCCUUUUGGAGUUCUGUACGGCAGACCCGACCGAUUUCAGUUUAAAGGGGAAGCUCUGAGUCAAUGAGAGGACAGGGUUACACACACCUACAGGAUGCUCUCCUGCUGUGUCAUGAGG